rnacentral:rRNA from 1 species
CAGCCGCCGCGGUAAAACGGAGGGUGCGAGCGUUAAUCGGAUUUACUGGGCGUAAAGCGUGCGUAGGCGGCUGUUUAAGUCGGAUGUGAAAUCCCUGAGCUUAACUUAGGAAUUGCAUUCGAUACUGGGAAGCUAGAGUAUGGGAGAGGAUGGUAGAAUUCCAGGUGUAGCGGUGAAAUGCGUAGAGAUCUGGAGGAAUACCGAUGGCGAAGGCAGCCAUCUGGCCUAAUACUGACGCUGAGGUACGAAAGCAUGGGGAGCAAACAGGAUUAGAUACCCCCGUAGUCCCUGUCUCUUAUAC